rnacentral:rRNA from 1 species
UAGGGAAUCUUCGGCAAUGGGGGGAACCCUGACCGAGCAACGCCGCGUGAGUGAAGAAGGUUUUCGGAUCGUAAAGCUCUGUUGUUAAGGAAGAACGAGUGUGAGAAUGGAAAGUUCAUGCUGUGACGGUACCUAACCAGAAAGCCACGGCUAACUACGUGCCAGCAGCCGCGGUAAUACGUAGGUGGCAAGCGUUGUCCGGAAUUAUUGGGCGUAAAGCGCGCGCAGGUGGUUUAGAAAGUCUGAUGUGAAAGCCCACGGCUCAACCGUGGAGGGUCAUUGGAAGCUAAUAAACUUGAAUGCAGGAGAGAAAAGAGGAGUUCCUAGUGUAGCGGUGAAAUGCGUAGAGAUUAGGAGGAACACCAGUGGCGAAAGCGGCUUUUUGGCCUGCAACUGACACUGAGGCGCGAAAGCGUGGGGAGCAAACAGG